rnacentral:lncRNA from 1 species
AUGGUGCCAAGAGGUACACACCACGGCAAGACUGAUGGCACCCACAGAGAUGACCCAGCCAGGUCAGUGCACCAGCUCUGCCGUCUCCUCCCUGCCCUGACAUGGGAAGCGAGCUCCAAGAGCCAAAGGAACCACAGCCCUGGCCUCACGUGCUCUGGAGCUGCACCUGAAACCAUGACCGUGCAAAUAAACCUUUGCCAGUGGCACAAGGAACAUUCUCAUGGCUGUGGCACUGAAAUAAUGAGGGACUUCCUCAAAUUUAGCUGCGUGUUUGUUGUUGACUUAAGCUGGUCUGAACACACGAUGAACAGAGGUGUUGACACACCAGCCUGCUUGGCAGAAGCUCCGUGUCAUAGUUUGAUUUUAGAUUUGUACCCGGCCUGCCAUUUGACACUUGCUGUUAAAUCUCCACCACAUAAUGAACUCAGUGGGCUGCCAAUCGAAGGGAAGUCAAGAACUGAAAAACAGCCAUUGCAAGGGGAAAAACUGAGUACUGCUGGCAGAAUAAAGGUGCUGGAUGAGUUGCUGAAGGCCAGCUUGACACUAAAGCAUAAGAGAUGGAGGAUAAAAAGGGAAGUAUUUCUGAAUACGAUACUAGCAAUCAAAUUCUGCCGUGGCUGUAGCAGACCAAACCCAGAACUUCUUCAUGGAUUUUGUAGAGUCACUAGGGGCUCAGAGAUGUGGAACUGA